AUUGAACGCUGGCGGCGUGCUUUACACAUGCAAGUCGGACGAGUGGCGAACGGGUGAGUAACGCAUCGGAACGUACCGAGUAAUGGGGGAUAACUGUCCGAAAGGACAGCUAAUACCGCAUAUUAUUCGCGCGGCCGUUGUCUGAUUAGCUUGUUGGCGGGGUAAAGGCCCACCAAGGCGACGAUCAGUAGCGGGUCUGAGAGGAUGAACCGCCACACUGGGACUGAGAUACGUCCCAGACUCCUACGGGGGUCAGCAGUGUGGAAUUUUGGACAAUGGGCUCAAGCCUGAUCCAGCCAUGCCGCUUGUCUGAAGUAGGCCUUCGGGUUGUAAAGGACUUUUGUCAGGGAGGCGGUACCUGGAGAAUAAGCACCGGCUAACUACGUGCCAGCCGCCGCGGUAAUUC
rnacentral:rRNA from 1 species